rnacentral:rRNA from 1 species
AACGUAGGUUCCGAGCGUUAUCCGGAUUUACUGGGCGUAAAGCGCACGUAGGCGGCUUUGUAAGUUAGAGGUGAAAGCCCGGGGCUCAACUCCGGAAUUGCCUUUAAGACUGCAUCGCUAGAAUUGUGGAGAGGUAAGUGGAAUUCCGAGUGUAGAGGUGAAAUUCGUAGAUAUUCGGAAGAACACCAGUGGCGAAGGCGACUUACUGGACACAUAUUGACGCUGAGGUGCGAAAGCGUGGGGAGCAAACAGG